CAAAAACAGCAAAUGGAGUAACUUCUGUUGAAAAAUUCUCCUUCUUGAAUAUCUUUUUCCUUCCUUUCUCAGGUAAAAAUGGUGGUACCUUUGGAAAUCCAACAGCAGCUUCAAGAGUCAACUACACCGGCAAUCCCUAAAGUUGGAGAAUUUAUGCCCAUGGAAAAGUCUGUAGCGUUUCUCAAACCGUGAGGCUGAGGAAUAGAGUUAGUUCCUGCAGCAGAACAAAAUGGUAGCCCCUUUUCUUUCCACGAAAAGAGUUUCUACGGAGACAGCAGGUUUCCUAUUGGAUUGUUGUCAGGGACCUUUUCAGAAGAGCCUCUUAAGACACAUGUUUCGGAAUGCGGUCAAAUGCGUGCUGCUGUACGACCAGCCUAUUUGGUUAGUGCCCAUGCCAUUGUACAGGGGAGAAACCAAGGACUAGAGGAAGUGCCAUAGAUGGUUGAGCAGAGCCAGAGCCUGAACCUAGCUCAUGGCAGUGACCCGAAAGAGCUUGCAGAGCUUACAACGGUAAGUCCUUUGUCUCCCCUCUCUUCGUCCUACCUCUGGUGGUU
rnacentral:lncRNA from 1 species